CUACUUGCUUUGCUCAUAUUAAGGCUUCCUAAGGCCCACUUGACUUCACAUUCCAGGAUGUCUGGCUUUAGGUGUACCAUUAUCAACACAGAAGAGAGAUUCAUCCCUAUUGUUGGAAAAUUGAUUUUUGAGAUCACUGUGCCUUCAGUAUUUGGUAUCAAGCACAGAGUCAGAAGGAAACAUGUUGCCAACAGGUGUCCAUCUCUAAGACAUGACCCUGUAGAAAUGAUAGAUCAGAUCUGGAAGCAAGUAGAAAGCCCUUUGAAAAAAAUUGGAAAACAGUCUGAUUUUCCCCUCCUGCAUCCUACCUCAGGCCAGAGAUACAUUGGAUGCUGAAAUAUUUGGGAUGCGCAACAAUUCCUUGAGCACCCAAGAAGGACAAAUCAAGGUGGAAAACCAGGAAAGUAUCGUAACAGUACAAGAUUAGAAGUGUAACCUGAAAGAAAAACAUCUCUGAAUAAGGUGUGAACACAGAAGUGUUUUAAUGACUGUCCAUGUAAGGUUCACCUACAAACAUGCUUCAGUUCAGUUCAGUCACCAGUGGUGUCCGACUCUUUGUGAUCCCAUGGACUGCAGUAUGCCAGGCCUCCCUGUCCACCACCAACUCCUGGAGUUUACUCAAACUCAUGUCCAUUGAGUCAGUGAUGCCAUCCAACCAUCUCAACUUCUGUCAUCCCCUUCUCCUCCCACCUUCAAUCAUUCCCAGCAUCAGGGUCUUUCUAAAUGAGUCAGUUCAACAAAGAUGCUUACAGAAUUUAAAAUCUCCAAAAAGCACUGACUGAACAUUGAAACACAUGGGAAAAGUCUUACCCAAGAUCAUACAAACUGCUUCACAUUUCUU